UGCAAACCUUACGAAUUGCUAAGGGCGAUC
rnacentral:piRNA from 1 species